AUGCUUUUUGCUGGUUGGUUCCAUUAUCAGAAAGCCGCUCCCAAAUUGGUCUGGUUCCAAGAUGUAGAAUCCAUGUUGAAUCACCACUUAGCGAGAUUAUUAGGACUUGGGUCUCUUUCUUGGGCGGGGCACCAAAUUCAUGUAUCUUUACCAAUUAACCAAUUUCUUGACGCUGGAGUGGAUCCUAAAGAGAUACCACUUCCUCAUGAAUUUAACUUGAAUCGGGACCUUUUGGCUCAACUUUAUCCAAGUUUUGCCGAAGGAGCAACCCCUUUUUUCACUUUAAAUUGGUCCAAAUACGCAGAAUUUCCGACUUUCCGUGGAGGACUAGAUCCAGUAACCGGUGGUCUCUGGCUGACCGAUAUUGCGCACCAUCAUUUAGCUAUUGCUAUUCUUUUCCUAAUUGCAGGUCAUAUGUAUAGGACCAAUUGGGGUAUUGGCCAUGGACUUAAAGAUAUUUUGGAGGCUCACAAGGGCCCAUUUAUAGGACAAGGCCAUAAGGGUCUUUAUGAAAUCUUAACAACGUCAUGGCAUGCUCAAUUAUCUCUUAACCUAGCUAUGCUAGGCUCUACAACCAUUGUUGUAGCUCAUCAUAUGUAUUCUAUGCCUCCCUAUCCAUACCUAGCUACUGACUAUGGUACACAACUUUCCUUGUUCACACACCACAUGUGGAUUGGCGGAUUUCUAAUAGUCGGUGCUGCUGCACAUGCAGCAAUUUUUAUGGUAAGAGACUAUGAUCCAACUACUCGAUACAACGAUCUAUUAGAUCGCGUCCUUAGACACCGCGAUGCAAUCAUAUCCCACCUUAACUGGGUAUGUAUAUUUCUAGGUUUUCACAGUUUUGGCUUGUACAUUCAUAAUGAUACCAUGAGUGCUUUAGGCCGUCCACAAGAUAUGUUUUCGGAUACUGCCAUACAAUUACAACCUAUCUUUGCUCAAUGGGUACAAAAUAUCCAUAAUACUGCGCCUGGCGUAACAGCUCCUGGUGCAACAACAAGUACUAGCUUAACGUGGGGAGGCGGCGAGUUAGUAGCAGUAGGUGGCAAAGUGGCUUUGUUACCUAUUCCAUUAGGAACCGCAGAUUUUUUUAGUCCAUCACAUUCAUGCAUUUACCAUACAUGUGACUGUAUUAAUACUUUUUAA
rnacentral:rRNA from 1 species